rnacentral:rRNA from 1 species
AACGAACGCUGGCGGCAGGCCUAACACAUGCAAGUCGAACGCCCCGCAAGGGGAGUGGCAGACGGGUGAGUAACACGUGGGAACGUACCCUUUGGUUCGGAAUAACUUGGGGAAACUCAAGCUAAUACCGGAUAAGCCCUUAUGGGGAAAGGUUUACUGCCGAAGGAUCGGCCCGCGUCUGAUUAGCUAGUUGGUGAGGUAACGGCUCACCAAGGCGACGAUCAGUAGCUGGUCUGAGAGGAUGAUCAGCCACACUGGGACUGAGACACGGCCCAGACUCCUACGGGAGGCAGCAGUGGGGAAUAUUGGACAAUGGGGGCAACCCUGAUCCAGCCAUGCCGCGUGAGUGAUGAAGGCCUUAGGGUUGUAAAGCUCUUUUACCCGGGACGAUAAUGACUGUACCGGGAGAAUAAGCCCCGGCUAACUUCGUGCCAGCCGCCGCCGUAA